rnacentral:snRNA from 1 species
GUGCUCAGUUCAGCAGUACAUAUACAAAAAAUGGAAUGAUACAGAGAAGAUUAGCGUGGCCCCUGCACAAGGACGACAUGCAAAUACAUGAAGAAGUCCAUAUUUUU